UACGUAGGGUGCAAGCGUUAAUCGGAAUUACUGGGCGUAAAGCGUGCGCAGGCGGUUCCGCAAGUCAGAUGUGAAAUCCCCGGGCUCAACCUGGGAACUGCAUUUGUGACUGUAGAGCUGGAGUACGGCAGAGGGGGAUGGAAUUCCGCGUGUAGCAGUGAAAUGCGUAGAUAUGCGGAGGAACACCGAUGGCGAAGGCAAUCCCCUGGGCCUGUACUGACGCUCAUGCACGAAAGCGUGGGGAGCAAACAGG
rnacentral:rRNA from 1 species